rnacentral:rRNA from 1 species
GACGAACGCUGGCGGCGUGCCUAAUACGUGCAAGUCGAGCGGACAGAAGGGAGCUUGCUCCCGGAAGUUAGCGGCGGGCGGGUGAGUAACACGUGGGCAACCUACCCUGUAGAUCGGGAUAACAUCGAGAAAUCGGUGCUAAUACCGGAUAAUCAUUUGAAGUGCAUGCUUCGAAUGUAAAAGAUGGCUCCGGCUAUCACUACGGGAUGGGCCCGCGGCGCAUUAGCUAGUUGGUAAGGUAAUGGCUAACCAAGGCAACGAUGCGUAGCCGACCUGAGAGGGUGAUCGGCCACACUGGGACUGAGACACGGCCCAGACUCCUACGGGAGGCAGCAGUAGGGAAUCUUCCGCAAGGGACGAAAGUCUGACGGAGCAACGCCGCGUGAGUGAUGAAGGUUUUCGGAUCGUAAAGCUCUGUUGUUAGGGAAGAACAAGUGCCGUUUGAAUAAGGCGGCACCUUGACGGUACCUAACCAGAAAGCCACGGCUAACUACGUGCCAGCCGCCGCAGUAACAC